UAAUCCAUGUAAUCGCAGAAACUAUCAAAUCAAAAAAGAAGUGACAAUAGUUACUAUAAGUAUACGAAAGAACCCUUUUUUUUCGAAUUCCUAUGAUGCAAUUGGGGCUUAUCGGCAGAAACGAAUCAAUUUAGAUUGUCCUUUGUGGCUCCGGUGGCGACUAGAUCAACGCGUUAUUGCUUCAAGAGAAACUCCCAUCGAAGUUCACUAUGAAUCUUUAGGUACUUUUUAUGAGAUUUAUGGACACUAUCUAAUAGUAAGAAGUCUAAAAAAAAAAAUCCUUUUUAUAUACAUUCGAACCACUAUUGGUCAUAUUGCUCUUUAUCGAGAAAUCGAAGAAGCUAUACAGGGGUUUUCUCGGGCCUACUCAUAUGAUACCUAAUUCUAUGAUACCGUGGGACUUCGGGGCUCUCCGGUUCAGCUAGGUCCAUAGUUCCGGAAUUUAUACGCGAAUCAAGAUCGAUAAAAGGAAGUUUUACAAUCACCGACUCAAACCCAUUGUCGAAUCCUUCUCAGCGGAAUAUGGAGGUACUUAUGGCAGAACGGGCCAAUCUGGUCUUUCACAAUAAAGCGAUAGACGGAACUGCCAUGAAACGACUUAUUAGUAGAUUAAUAGAGCACUUCGGAAUGGCAUAUACAUCACAUAUCCUGGAUCAAGUAAAAACUCUGGGGUUCCAACAAGCUACUGCUACAUCCAUUUCAUUAGGAAUUGAUGAUCUGUUAACAAUACCUUCUAAGGGAUGGAUAGUUCAAGAUGCUGAACAACAAAGUUUGAUUUUGGAAAAACACCAUCAUUAUGGGAAUGUACACGCGGUAGAAAAAUUACGUCAAUCCAUUGAAAUAUGGUAUGCUACUAGUGAAUAUUUGCGCCAAGAAAUGAAUCCGAAUUUUAGGAUGACUGACCCUUUUAAUCCAGUUCAUAUAAUGUCUUUCUCGGGAGCUCGAGGAAAUGCGUCUCAGGUACAUCAAUUAGUAGGUAUGAGAGGAUUAAUGUCGGAUCCUCAAGGACAAAUGAUUGAUUUACCUAUUCAAAGCAAUUUACGCUAAGGACUCUCUUUAACAGAAUACAUCAUUUCUUGCUACGGAGCCCGUAAAGGAGUUGUGGAUACUGCUGUACGAACAUCAGACGCUGGAUAUCUCACUCGCAGACUUGUUGAAGUAGUUCAACACAUUGUUGUACGUCGAACGGAUUAUGGCACCGCCCGGGGUAUUUCUGUGAGUCCUCGAAAUGGGAUAAUGCCGGAAAGGAUUUUUAGUCAAACAUUAAUUAGCCGUGUAUUAGCAGAUGAUAUAUACAUGGGUUCACGAUGUAUUGCCACUAGAAACCAAGCCAUUGGCAUUGGACUUGUAAAUCGAUUCAUAACCUCAAUCUCUAUUCGAACUCUCUUUACUUGUAGGAGUACAUCUUGGAUUUGUCGAUUAUGUUAUGGCCGUAGUCCUACUCAUGGCGACCUGGUUGAUUUGGGGGAAGCUGUAGGUAUUAUUGUAGGUCAAUCGAUUGGAGAACCGGGUACUCAAUUAACAUUAUGAACUUUUCAUACCGGAGGAGUAUUCAUGGGGGGUACUGCAGAACAUGUGCGAGCCCCAUCUAAUGGAAAAAUAAAAUUCAAUGAGGACUUGGUUCAUCCGACACGUACACGUCAUGGGCAUCCCACCUUUCUAUGUUCUAUAGAUUUGUAUGUAACUAUUGAGAGUAAAGAUAUUCUACAUAAUGUGAAUAUUCCACCCAAAAGUUUGCUUUUAGUUCAAAACGAUCAAUAUGUAGAAUCAGAACAAGUAAUUGCUGAGAUUCGCGCAGGAAUAUCCACUUUGAAUUUUAAAGAGAAGGUUCGAAAACAUAUUUAUUCUGAUUCAGACGGAGAAAUGCACUGGAGUACCGCUGUCUAUCAUGCACCCGAAUUUACAUAUGGUAAUGUUCAUCUAUUACCAAAAACAAGUCAUUUAUGGAUAUUAUUAGGAGGGCCGUGCAGGUCCAGUCUAGUCUACCUUUCGAUCCACAAGGAUCAGGAUCAAAUGAAUGCGCAUUCUCUUUCUGGCAAGCGAAGAUAUACUUCUAACCUCUCAGUAACCAAUGAUCAGGUGAGGCAGAAAUUGUUUAGUUCGGAUUUUUAUGGUAAAAAAGAAGAUAGGAUUCUUGAUUAUUCAGACCUUAAUCGAAUCAUAUGUACUGGUCAGUAUAAUCUCAUAUAUUCGCCUAUUCUUCACGGGAAUUCUGAUUUAUUGUCAAAAAGGCGAAGAAAUAAAUUCAUCAUUCCACUACACUCGAUUCAAGAACUCGAGAAUGAACUAAUGCCCUGUUUAGGUAUCUCGAUUGAAAUCCCCGUAAAUGUUAUUUUCCGUUGAAAUAGUAUUCUUGCUUAUUUCGAUGAUCCUCGAUACAGAAGAAAGAGUUUGGGCAUUAUUAAAUAUGGGACUAUAGAGACGCAUUCAGUCAUCAAAAAAGAGGAUUUGAUUGAGUAUCGAGGAGUCAAGGAAUUUAGGCCAAAAUACCAAAUGAAAGUAGAUCAAUUUUUUUUCAUUCCUGAAGAGGUGCAUAUCUUGCCCGGAUAUUCUUCCAUAAUGGUACGGAACAAUAGUAUUUCUGGAGAUAUCCAUUUUCCUGGAGAGACGGAUAAGAUAUCCAGACAUACCGGCGUUUUGAUACCACCAGGAACAGGAAAAAGAAAUUCCAAGGAAUACAAAAAAGUUAAAAAUUGGAUCUAUGUCCAACGAAUUACACCUAGUAAGAAAAGGUUUUUUGUUUUAGUUCGACCUGUCGUCACAUAUGAAAUAACGGACGGUAUAAAUUUAGGAACCCUUUUUCCACCGGAUCCAUUGCAGGAAAGGGAUAAUGUGCAACUUCGAAUUGUCAAUUAUAUCCUUUAUGGAAAUGGCAAACCGAUUCGAGGAAUUUCUGANACAAGUAUUCAAUUAGUUCGAACUUGUUUAGUAUUGAAUUGGAACCAAGACCAAAAAAGUUCUUCUUGCGAAGAAGCCCGUGCUUCUUUUGUUGAAAUAAGGACAAAUGGUUUGAUUCGACAUUUCCUAAGAAUCAACUUAGUGAAAUCCCCUAUUUCGUAUAUCGAAAAAAGGAAUGAUCCGUCGGGGUCAGGAUUGCUCUCUGAUAAUGGAUCAGAUUGUACCAAUAUCAACCCCUUUUCUGCCAUUUAUUCCUAUUCCAAGGCAAAAAUUCAACAAUCUCUUAACCAACCUCAAGGAACUAUUCAUACGUUGUUGAAUUGUGAAAAUGUAUGUAUAGCCAAAAAUGGACCGCCCCUCAAAUCGGGUCAAGUUAUACUUUUUCAAGUUGACUCGAUAGUGAUACGAUCAGCUAAGCCUUAUUUGGCGACCCCCGGAGCAACUGUUCAUGGCCAUUAUGGGGAAACCCUUUACGAAGGAGAUACAUUAGUUACAUUUAUAUAUGAAAAAUCGAGAUCUGGUGAUAUAACACAGGGUCUUCCAAAAGUAGAACAGGUCUUAGAAGUGCGUUCGAUUGAUUCAAUAUCCAUGAAUCUAGAAAAGAGGGUUGAGAGUUGGAACAAAUGUAUACCAAGAAUUCUUGGAAUUCCUUGGGGAUUCUUGAUUGGUGCUGAGCUAACUAUAGCGCAAAGCCGAAUCUCUUUGGUUAAUAAAAUCCAACAGGUUUAUCGCUCCCAGGGGGUGCAAAUUCAUAAUAGGCAUAUAGAAAUUAUUGUACGUCAAAUAACAUCAAAAGUGUUGAUUUCAGAAGAUGGAAUGUCUAAUGUUUUUUCACCCGGGAUACCCGUUGGUACCGGAUUCAAGGGAUUAGUGCACCCUUCAAAACAACAUAACAACAUUCCUUUGGAAACAAAAAAAACGAAUCUAUUCGAGGGGGAGAUGAGAGAUAUUUUGUUCCACCACAGAAAAUUAUUUGAUUCUUGUCUUUCAAAAAAAUUCCACGACAUACCCGAACAAUCAUUUAUAGGAUUUAAUGAUUCCUAACAACGGAUUCAUCUCUUUCGCUAUCUGCAUUUGGUAUGGUUAUUUGCUUUGGUAAUAAAAAGAAUAAUGAAUAGAAAAGAAUAAUGGUUUGGGUCGUGUAUCUACGUCCAAUCUACAGUAGAAGAGAAGGUUCCAUCGGAACAAUUAUUUAUUUCAGUUCAGGGUUCCUCGUCUUUUUUUUUUUUUGAAAAAGAAUAAAAAAAAGGGGGGAGGUUGUGGGGAGAAAUGACAAGAAGAUAUUGGAACAUAAAUUUGGAAGUGAUGAUGGAGGCAGGAGUUCAUUUUGGUCAUGGUACUAGGAAAUGGAAUCCUAAAAUGGCGCCUUAUAUCUCUGCAAAGCGUAAGGGUAUUCAUAUUACAAAUCUUACUAGAACUGCUCAUUUUUUAUCAGAAGCUUGUGAUUUAGUUUUUGACGCAGCAAGUAGGGGAAAACAAUUCUUAAUUGUUGGUACCAAAAAUAAAGCAGCUGAUUCAGUAGAGUGGGCUGCAAUAAGG